GGGAAGGGCCUGACUAUCAUAAAGACAUCAGAUCCAAUCCGAUCUUGGAAGCUAUACAGGAUUAGUCCUGGUUAGUACUUGCAUGGGUGAAUACCAGGUGCUGUAUUUU
rnacentral:rRNA from 1 species